UACGUAGGUGGCAAGCGUUAUCCGGAAUUACUGGGCGUAAAGCGCACGCAGGCGGUCUUGUAAGUUUGACGUGAAAGCUCCCGGCUUAACUGGGAGAGGUCGUUGAAGACUGCAAGACUUGAGGAAAUGAGAGGGGUGUAGAAUUCCCGGUGUAGUGGUGGAAUGCGUAGAUAUCGGGGGGAACACCAGUGGCGAAGGCGACUACCUGGCCUGUUCUUGACGCUGAGGCGCGAAAGCUAGGGGAGCAAACGGG
rnacentral:rRNA from 1 species